AGUGUAGGCGGGAUCGUAAGUUAGGAGUUUAAUACAUGGGCUUAACCCAUGAGCUGCUUUUAAUACUGCGGUUCUUGAGUAUGGGAGAGGGCGAUGGAAUUCCAGGUGUAGCGGUGGAAUGCGUAGAUAUCUGGAAGAACACCAGUAGCGAAGGCGGUCGCCUGGCCCAAUACUGACGCUGAUGCUCGAAAGCUAGGGGAGCAAACAGGAUUAGAUACCCUGGUAGUCCUAGCCGUAAACGAUGGACACUAGUUGCUGGAGGAGUCAAUCCUUUCGGUGACGAAGCUAACGCAUUAAGUGUCCCGCCUGGGGAGUACGUUCGCAAGGACGAA
rnacentral:rRNA from 1 species